rnacentral:rRNA from 1 species
UGAAUCAUAAUAACUUAACGAAUCGCAUGGCCUUGCGCCGGCGAUGGUUCAUUCUUAUUUCUGCCCUAUCAACUUUCGAUGGUAGGAUAGUGGCCUACCAUGGUAUCAACGGGUAACGGGGAAUUAGGGUUCGACUCCGGAGAGGGAGCCUGAGAAACGGCUACCACAUCCAAGGAAGGCAGCAGGCGCGCAAAUUACCCAAUCCCGACACGGGGAGGUAGUGACAAUAAAUACUGAUACAGGGCUCUUUUGGGUCUUGUAAUUGGAAUGAGUACAAUUUAAAUCCCUUAACGAGGAACAAUUGGAGGGCAAGUCUGGUGCCAGCAGCCGCGGUAAUUCCAGCUCCAAUAGCGUAUAUUAAAGUUGUUGCAGUUAAAAAGCUCGUAGUUGAACCUUGGGCCUGGCUGGCCGGUCCGCCUCACCGCGUGUACUGGUCCGGCCGGGCCUUUCCUUCUGGGGAACCUCAUGCCCUUCACUGGGCGUGUUGGGGAACCAGGACUUUUACUUUGAAAAAAUUAGAGUGUUCAAAGCAGGCCUUUGCUCGAAUACAUUAGCAUGGAAUAAUAGAAUAGGACGUGUGGUUCUAUUUUGUUGGUUUCUAGGACCGCCGUAAUGAUUAAUAGGGAUAGUCGGGGGCAUCAGUAUUCAAUCGUCAGAGGUGAAAUUCUUGGAUUGAUUGAAGACUAACUACUGCGAAAGCAUUUGCCAAGGAUGUUUUCAUUAAUCAGUGAACGAAAGUUAGGGGAUCGAAGACGAUCAGAUACCGUCGUAGUCUUAACCAUAAACUAUGCCGACUAGGGAUCGGACGGUGGUGGUAUUUUGACCCUUCCGGCACCUUACGAAGAAAAUCAAAGUUUUUGGGUUCUGGGGGGAGUAUGGUCGCAAGGCUAAACUUUAAAGAAAAUUUGACGGAAGGGGCACCCCCCAGGGCGUGGGAGCCCUGCCGGCUUUAA